CAAAAACUUAGGUGAGUUCUUGAAAACUCAAAUGAGAUUUUCUGGUCAAAAUUUUAUUGAGUAUUUGGUGAGUUGAGUCGCGUUUUGUUAGUGACCAGGUGAGUUUUUAUUGAGACUUGGUGAAAUCUGGUUGAGUCGAGUUUUGUUUUUUUCCUGAGCUAUGUGUCUUCGAGAAUGAUCCUGACUUUUUACUUUUAGAGUUGAAUGUAAGCCAUUGAAACUUAUCUUACAUGAUGAUGGUCAGAUACAGAGCAUAGCAUCCGGAAAAUGGACGGUUUGGAUCGUCAGGCCAUUUCAGUGUGUGACACCAAUGGGGCCUUUUUUUUUUUCCUGAGACAAGUCGAUGUUAUAUAAUUUGUUAGCCUAUUUGUAUACUUUGAUUAUUCAUUGUUUGGGAUGUAUGUGGAAUAAAGUUAAAAGAAUAAAUGCCCGUGUGUUCUGUUUGGAAUGUAAUGGUUCAAUGAAUUAUCUUAUAUUUUAGCCGGCGGCCUGAAGGAUGGGCGGCCGCAAUCUCGUUGUUACGUGCCUUUGUCUAUGUUUUCCUAAUAUUACAUCAGGUGGGCUACACAUGAUUAUCCAUUUUGAUAUAACUGUUGGAUUAUUUUGAUUGAAUGAUUUAGUAGGCCUUACUAUAGUUCUGAUCAUUGCAAAAAUGUAUGGGGCGAGAUGCUUGAAUCAUACCUUAUGCACGAUUAUUACGUCGGAUAUGGAAAUAUACGGUGUGAAGACUCUAGAGGGAAGAAGUGGGAUGGGUAAGAUUCUCUGACCCUUUUUCUUAUAUGUACCUGUUUUGAUCCCUCACCCACGCAUAAGAGAAAAACUCGAUCUCAUUGAAAUGUUCUUGUAACAGUGUGAGGUGCAAAAGACCAAGAUUCCUUUCAACUACAUCGAGGCAUUGGGAAUAUCUUACCAAUCAGGUAGGUGGAGUCAUGAAGUCCGAGAGCGUUUAAGUAGAGCUCGGAUGAAAGUUAGGUGAUAAGGAGCGGCGCAACGUUAGCUUGGUUAGGUUUUGAGAGCUUGAGCCAAUAAACUCUUAAUCUAUCUUUUAUGUUUAUGUCUUGUACAUGGGGUGGUGUUUAUGGUUUGUGGUGGUCUCUAUGGGUGCCCCUUUUGGAAUUGUACACUUUAUUUAGAUGAUUGCCUAUACACUUUAUGCUUUAGUCA